rnacentral:rRNA from 1 species
AGUGAACGCUGGCGGUAGGCCUAACACAUGCAAGUCGAACGGCAGCACAGAGGAGCUUGCUCCUUGGGUGGCGAGUGGCGGACGGGUGAGGAAUACAUCGGAAUCUACUCUGUCGUGGGGGAUAACGUAGGGAAACUUACGCUAAUACCGCAUACGACCUACGGGUGAAAGCAGGGGAUCUUCGGACCUUGCGCGAUUGAAUGAGCCGAUGUCGGAUUAGCUAGUUGGCGGGGUAAAGGCCCACCAAGGCGACGAUCCGUAGCUGGUCUGAGAGGAUGAGCAGCCACACUGGAACUGAGAUACGGUCCAGACUCCUACGGGAGGCAGCAGUGGGGAAUAUUGGACAAUGGGCGCAAGCCUGAUCCAGCCAUACCGCGUGGGUGAAGAAGGCCUUCAGGUUGUAAAGCCCUUUUGUUGGGAAAGAAAUCCAUCUGGUUAAUACCCGGGUGGGAUGACGGUACCCAAAGAAUAAGCACCGGCUAACUUCGUGCCAGCCGCCGCGGUAA